CACGUAGGGCGCGAGCGUUGUCCGGAAUUAUUGGGCGUAAAGAGCUCGUAGGCGGCCGGUUGCGUCCGCUGUGAAAGCCCGGGGCUUAACCCCGGGUCGGCAGUGGAUACGGGCAGGCUAGAGGUAGGUAGGGGAGAAUGGAAUUCCCGGUGUAGCGGUGAAAUGCGCAGAUAUCGGGAGGAACACCGGUGGCGAAAGCGGCGUGCUGGACCCCUUCUGACGCUGAGGCGCGAAAGCCAGGGGAGCAAACGGG
rnacentral:rRNA from 1 species